rnacentral:tRNA from 1 species
UCUCCGGUAGCUCAAUUGGCAGAGCAUUCGGCUGUUAACCGAAAUGUUGUUGGUUCGAGUCCAACCCGGAGAG